rnacentral:rRNA from 1 species
UACGUAGGGGGCAAGCGUUGUCCGGAAUUAUUGGGCGUAAAGAGCGUGUAGGCGGUCCAGUAAGUCAGGUGUGAAACCUCCAGGCUCAACCUGGAGACGCCACCUGAUACUGCUGUGGCUAGAGUCCGGUAGGGGAGCGUGGAAUUCCUGGUGUAGCGGUGAAAUGCGCAGAUAUCAGGAGGAACACCAGCGGCGAAGGCGGCGCUCUGGGCCGGAACUGACGCUGAGGAGCGAAAGCGUGGGUAGCAAACAGG